AUACGGAGGGUGCAAGCGUUAAUCGGAAUCACUGGACGUAAAGCGCACGUAGGCUGUUUGGUAAGUCAGGGGUGAAAUCCCGCAGCUCAACUGCGGAAUUGCCCUUGAUACUGCUGGACUUGAGUUCGGGAGAGGGUGGCGGAAUUCCAGGUGUAGGAGUGAAAUCCUUAGAUAUCUGGAGGAACAUCAGUGGCGAAGGCGGCCACCUGGACCGAUACUGACGCUGAGGUGCGAAAGCGUGGGGAGC
rnacentral:rRNA from 1 species